GCUAAACGCGAAGAACCUUACCCACCUUUGACAUGUACGGAAUCCUUUAGAGAUAGAGGAGUGCUCGAAAGAGAGCCGUAACACAGGUGCUGCAUGGCUGUCGUCAGCUCGUGUCGUGAGAUGUUGGGUUAAGUCCCGCAACGAGCGCAACCCUUGCCAUUAGUUGCUACGAAAGGGCACUCUAAUGGGACUGCCGGUGACAAACCGGAGGAAGGUGGGGAUGACGUCAAGUCCUCAUGGCCCUUAUAGGUGGGGCUACACACGUCAUACAAUGGCUGGUACAGAGGGUUGCCAACCCGCGAGGGGGAGCCAAUCCCACAAAGCCAGUCGUAGUCCGGAUCGCAGUCUGCAACUCGACUGCGUGAAGUCGGAAUCGCUAGUAAUCGCGGAUCAGAAUGUCGCGGUGAAUACCGGUU
rnacentral:rRNA from 1 species